rfam:Alligator sinensis unplaced genomic scaffold scaffold382_2, whole genome shotgun sequence
AGCUUUGCACAGUGGCAGUAUCUUAGCAAAUGAGGCCCGGCCAAGGAAUGAUUAUUGCUAGUUGAAAACUUUUUUUUUUUUUUUCCAACAAGCUCAGGUCACUGGUAAUUUCAACAAGCUCAGGUCACUAG